UCGAGCGGGACCUCGGGAGGGGUAACCCUUCCGAGGGGAGAGCGGCGAACGGGUGAGUAACACGUGGGCAACCUGCCCCGGACACCGGGAUAACUCAGGGAAACCUGGGCUAAUACCGGAUACCUCGGCGUGAUCGCAUGGUCGUGCCGGGAAAGCUCCGACGGUCCGGGAUGGGCCCGCGGCCUAUCAGCUUGUUGGUGGGGUAACGGCCUACCAAGGCGGCGACGGGUAGCUGGUCUGAGAGGACGGCCAGCCACACUGGGACUGAGACACGGCCCAGACUCCUACGGGAGGCAGCAGUAGGGAAUCUUGCGCUAAUGCGCGAAAGCGUGACGCAGCGACGCCGCGUGCGGGAUGAAGGCCCUCGGGUCGUAAACCGCUUUCGGCAGGGACGAAGCGAAAGUGACGGUACCUGCAGAAGAAGUCCCGGCUAACUACGUGCCAGCAGCCGCGGUAACACGUAGGGGACGAGCGUUG
rnacentral:rRNA from 1 species